AACGCAGUUAACUGCGCGUCAUAGUGUGAACUGCAG
rnacentral:sRNA from 1 species